CCGUUAAGCUUAGUAUGCAGUUCUCAAGGAAAAUGGUCAAGGAAAAUUUGAUCAAAUUACCAAAGUAAUUUGGACGUGAAUGCAGUCGAUAAAGUAGGCGAAUUUUCGUCUGUCAUCAAUCAGCAUUUCCUCGUAGCUCGUAUCGUCGUAGGUGUUGUAAUGCUGGACUACCUCUCAGGGUCGUGGACUUCACCAACCAGGUGGAAAUAAUCGGGUUGAUCGGGUUUCCUUACCAGAACUUGUCGUCGUGCUUGGGGAAAUACGUGGACCCCGGUCGGGGUUUUUGGAUCGUAUAACGGCUGCUUGCCGAUCGAGACACAUCGGACGGUUGCGGUGACCGUUCGGGUCGAAGCAGAAGGGAAGGGGCCUCUCUUCCUCACUCUCCCGUUUCUUGCUGGGAUAGUUGUAACCAGAAUUGCUCAUCGUGUGUGCCAUGGCGUGUUAAUCAAAAUGCCCUUUAAGUCCACAUGGAAGAUUAUUUCGCUAUGGCGCCGAAGGCUCCAUGGGCGAGGAAACGGGUGGCUCCAGAGCCCAAUCAGGGUGGAUGUGUGGAAAGGAUUUAGAUGCUACACUGCUGAUGUCGUCUUUAUCUCCCUUUAUCUACAACUCUAUACUGGCGGAAUUAUACUUCUAGUAUUGUAUGCUCAAGAUACUGCUCCAAUUGCUCGAGAUCCACUACAUCGUGCGAUGUUUUGCCACUAGUUCUGCCUCCCCGUUCACACGUUCUUAUUUGCGUCGUUCAAUUGGUUAGGCCAUUGAUGGAAGUUCCAUUUGUUUUUCUUAAAUUAUAGCUUAGAGUUUGAAGAAUACGGGACAAACUGGUUCUGGUUUGUUUUCAUUUUUGGUAUUCAUUUGGAGCUACCUGGUAGCUUAGUUUGGCAAGGCUGAACCCUCCCCUACGUUCUCCCUACUAGGACACAGACCCAUAAUGGACUGGCCUUUGAUGGCCACUUGAACAUUGUGUGCAGUAGUAAGGUCUUGUGCCGGAUUAGUUCUUU